CUGAAUCAUUGACUGUGUGUCUUCAGGCCCCGUACCUCCUCCCUGAAGAACGGCCUGUACACGAUAACAGAAUAAAGUGUUCAGUUACAGGGAAAGUGUAGUGCAGAUACCCUGCUGAGUAUUCCACGUGGUUGCAUCACCGCCUGGAAUGGGGGACAGGUUCGGAAAGAGCUCCAUCAAGGUUAUUCUGGAGCAGUGCUCAUUGCUGAGUCCCGGAUUUGAGUUGUGUGUGAACCACCGUUCUCUGCGCUCAUCCCAAAGAAAUGUGUCGUUUACAUCAACAACCAACAGAGACCGAACAACAAUUGUGUGCAGGACAGCCUGCACAUGUCGCCACACUUCUGGCACCAGAACGGCACGCCCACGACACGCUAAGCACCGACCCGAACCCCGCAUCUUCGGGAUGUGGGAGGAAGACUGCGUGGUCACGAGAACUGCGGCGGUAAUUCAAUCCCAAUCGGUGACUGCUUGCCCCGAAACACUACGCUCCCCUGCCAUCCACUUACUGUGUACGAGACGUUGGUGAGGCCGAAUCUAGGGAAUUGUGAGCAGUCCUGGUCACCUGCCUACAAGAAGAUUGAAAGAGUGCAGAGAGAAUUGACAAGGACAUCACUGGAAGUUGAGGCCCUGAGUUCUCGGAAAAGACCGUGAGAUAUAGAAGCAGAAUUAGGCCAUUUGGCCCAUCAAAUCUGCUCAGCCAUUUCAAAGGGACAUUUCAUAUUAGAGAAAUGUAUGCAAUAUACAUCCUGAAAUUCAUUUUCUUUGUAAGCAUCCAUGAAAACAAAGGAGUGCCCCAAAGAAUGAAUGACAGUCAACUGUUAGAACCCCUAAGCCCCCCCCCCCCAGCUCCCCUUCCUCCUGCACGUAAGCGGCAGCAAAGUGACGAUCCCACCUCCCCCCACUGGCAAACUAAACAUGGGCGCCCCCGCUGAGCGCUCGACAGUGCAGCAAAGCAUCAGUAAAGACACAGACUUGCAGUGCCCCAAAGACGACUCGUUCACCCGAUAAUCUGACAUACCACAGGCUCUCUCUCUCUCUCUCAUGAGGGAAAAAGAGGUGUCCCUGAUCCACAGCAAGAGGGGAGACAUUACAAACAACUCACUAAUUUACGAUGUUAAAAGUCUGUUGCGUCAGUUUUUCCGAGCUUGGGUCUCUGGACACGCAGCCAGCUCACUGCUUUUGGUCUUCUUCCUCCGACAACACACCAAUUUCCUGUGGAGGCACAGACCUCGAGACCGCCCGCCUCCAGAGCCACAAUAUCCCAGAACCCUGAAGGCGUGCUAGUCUUCUAGGCCGCGUCCUUGGUAUAUUGAAUAGUGGCCAGUUGUAGGACCCCGACAGCUGGUCCCAUUCUUGCAAAGUCAGCGUAUAACUCCAGGUCAGGGUCUUCAAAAGAACCCUGAAAGGGAAAAACAGAGAUACUAAAGACAGAAAUAGAGCUGUUUCCGAAGAUGCCAGCAAAGGAGUCGCCAUUAGGCACUACCAUCUCCUAAGCUCCUCCCCUUUUUCAGCUGCUGCGUUUCUCCUCUCUGCCCCAUUCUCUUGCCUUCCCUCAUAUCCCUCAGGACCUGACUAAUUCAGAAUUUAUCAACAUCUGCCUUAAAUAUGCCCAGUGACUUGGCCUGUGGCAAUGAAUUCUACAGAUUCACCAUGCUCUAGCCAAAGAAAUUCAACCUCAUCUCCAUUUUAAGUAGACAUCCGUCUGUUCUGAGAUGUGUCCUUUGGUCUUAGACAGGGAACAUCCUCACCACAUCCACUCUAUCGGGGUUUUUCAACAUUGAACAUUCAAUGAGAGCCCCCCUCAUUCUUCUGAAUUCCAGUGAGUAUAGGUCUAAAGGGUUGGUAAGCGUAGGACUUUGUUGCAUCGUACAUGUAACUAUAGGUCAGGAGUUCCCAAUCUUUUUCAUGCCAUGAACCCUGGACCACAGGUUGGGAACUCCUGCUCUCGGUAGGUGGCUAAGGAAGAGUCUAUGGGCAUGGGGGAGAGAAUGGGUUUCAGGAGACUGGAGAAUAAAGGGGGAAGUGAAAAGAUAGGGAUUCUUCUCUGGAAGCCUGCCUGGACACGAUGGGCUGAAUGGCCUCCCUCUGAUGUAAGCACACUCAGUGGCAACUUCAUUGCCUCCUGUACCUAAUCAAUUGGCCACUAAGUGUACGUUCACGGACUUCUGCUGCUGUAGCCCAUCCACCAAGCUUCAGUGUGUGCGUCUUUUCUGCACACCGCUGUUGCAACAUGUAGUUAUCUGAGUUCAUGCUAGCUUGAACCAGUUUAGCCAUUCUCUGACCUCUCGCAUUAACAAGGCAAUUUCACCACAGAACCACCGCUAAGAUUCGUGCACAGUACGGUAGUCAUUUUAUGUACUGCUACCACAAAAAGCAAAUUUCAUGACAUAUGUGAGUGAUGAUAAACCUGAUUCUGAUCUGGGUCUCUAUUGUGGACUGAGAGUGGGAAGGGGACAGGGAGAGGGGAAUCAUGGUUGGGAAAAGGGGAAGGGAGAGGGG